GACGAACGCUGGCGGCGUGCCUAAUACAUGCAAGUCGAACGCAGUGGGGACGGGUGAGUAACACGUGGGUAACCUCCCAUCAGAGGGGAUAACACUUGGAAACAGGUGCUAAACCGGAAUUGAUGGAUGGACCCGCGGGGGAUGAGCUAGUCGGUGAGGUAAAGGCUCACCAAGGCGACGAUGCAUAGGCGGCCUGAGAGGGUGAUCAGCCACACUGGGACUGAGACACGGUCCAGACUCCUACGGGCGGCAGCAGUAGGGAAUCUUCGGCAAUGGACGAAAGUCUGACCGAGCAACGCCGCGUGAGUGAAGAAGGUUUUCGGAUCGUAAAACUCUGUUGUUAGAGAAGCGGUAUCUACCCAGAAAGCCACGGCUAACUACGUGCCAGCAGCCGCGGUAAUUC
rnacentral:rRNA from 1 species